rnacentral:rRNA from 1 species
UACGUAGGAGACGAGCGUUGUCCGGAAUUACUGGGCGUAAAGCGCGUGUAGGCGGAUGAGCAAGUCUGCUGUGAAAGCUCCUGGCUUAACCGGGAGUGGUCGGUGGAAACUGCUCGUCUGGAGGACGGUAGAAGUAGGUAGAAUUCCCGGUGUAGUGGUGAAAUGCGUAGAGAUCGGGAGGAAUACCUGUGGCGAAGGCGGCCUACUGGGCCGGACCUGACGCUGAGACGCGAAGGCGUGGGGAGCGAACGGG